CUCAUUCUCUUUUUUACCGGCUGAUCCCUUGUAACGGCCUUUUUUUUAGUAUACUUGUCCAGAAGCAUAUCAAAAGUGACCCUUUCCCUAAGGCUGCUCCCCUGAUCUUUUGCCAUAUUGAGCUUCCAGAUCCCAAUCUCUAGACGCUUUGGUUUUAUCAUUCGGGGGCGGCUUUGAGGUGAACCGAUCUGAUCGGUCCCCUGCACCGAUCCAACCGGUUCGGUCUAACCAGCAGACACGAUCGGUGUUUGACCUGAUGUCGUGGGCGAUGCUUGCCCCCUGUGUCCAAAGGCUUUCACAGUGAUUUUGAAUGACUCUCUGCCAUCUGGAGUCUUCUCAUACACCACCUCCCUUGUUAACUCUUUGCCUCUCAAAUCAGGCUUCUCUUCCCCGUUCACCAC
rnacentral:lncRNA from 1 species